rnacentral:rRNA from 1 species
GGACUACAGGGGUAUCUAAUCCUGUUUGCUCCCCACACUUUCGAGCCUCAGCGUCAGUUAGAGCCCAGCAAGCCGCCUUCGCCACUGGUGUUCCUCCGAAUCUCUACGCAUUUCACCGCUACACUCGGAAUUCCGCUUGCCUCUACUCCACUCAAGAAAAACAGUUUCAACGGCAGGCCACAGGUUGAGCCUGUGGAUUUCACCGCUGACUUGUCUUCCCGCCUGCGCUCCCUUUACACCCAGUAAUUCCGGACAACGCUCGCCACCUACGUAUUACCGCGGCGGCUGGCAC